rnacentral:rRNA from 1 species
GUGUCAGCCGCCGCGGUAAGACGAACCGUGCGAACGUUGUUCGGAAUCACUGGGCUUAAAGGGCGCGUAGGCGGGCUUCGAGGUCGGAGGUGAAAUCUUGCGGCUCAACCGUAAGAGGGCCUCCGAUACCGGAAGUCUCGAGGGAGGUAGGGGUCGACGGAACUCUCGGUGGAGCGGUGAAAUGCGUAGAUAUCGGGAGGAACGCCGGUGGCGAAAGCGGUCGACUGGACCUCUUCUGACGCUGAGGCGCGAAAGCCAGGGGAGCGAACGGGAUUAGAUACCCGCGUAGUCC